rnacentral:rRNA from 1 species
GUGCCAGCAGCCGCGGUAAAACCAGCACCUCAAGUAGUCAGGAUGAUUAUUGGGCCUAAAGCAUCCGUAGCCUGCUUUGUUAGUUUUCGGUUAAAUCCAUUCGCUCAACGAAUGGGCUGCCGGGAAUACUGCAAAGCUAGGGAGUGGGAGAGGUAGACGGUACUCGGUAGGAAGGGGUAAAAUCCUUUGAUCUAUUGAUGACCACCUGUGGCGAAGGCGGUCUACCAGAACACGUCCGACGGUGAGGGAUGAAAGCUGGGGGAGCAAACCGGAUUAGAUACCCGGGUAGUCCCAGCUGUAAACUAUGCAAACUCAGUGAUGCAUUGGCUUGAUGCCAAUGCAGUGCUGCAGGGAAGCCGUUAAGUUUGCCGCCUGGGAAGUACGUACGCAAGUAUGAAACUUAAAGGAAUUGGCGGGGGAGCACCACAAGGGGUGAAGCCUGCGGUUCAAUUGGAGUCAACGCCAGAAAUCUUACCCGGAGAGACAGCAGAAUGAAGGUCAAGCUGAAGACUUUGCCAGACAAGCUGAGAGGUGGUGCAUGGCCGUCGCCAGCUCGUGCCGUGAGAUGUCCUGUUAAGUCAGGUAACGAGCGAGAUCCCUGCCUCUAGUUGCCAUCAUUACUCUCAGGAGUAGUGGGGCGAAUU